AAGGAUACUUCUUCGUAAAAACCUCGUAUAGGUUAUUUUUACGAAAAUUACGUCUCUUCUUUUACUAACUCUUUCGGAAAUACGAUCUACGAGGAUUUUCGGGUGGUAAUUCCGUCGUAACCGUUUUUGACCCCAACAGAUACUAGACUGCCCCUCCACAGACACAAAUUGUUGGAGGGGCAGUCUUAAACUUGGGUAAUAUUUGACCCCAACAGAUACUAGACUGCCCCUCCACAAACCUUAAACUUGGGUAAUAUUUGUACGGUGGACGGUUCUUGGACCUCUACAAAUCAAUUCAAUGGAAUUGGAUGGGUUUGGAAAGAUAGCAUGGGGAAGAUCCAAAUUAUGGGGACAAAAAACUUAAGGAGGCGUGAGACAGCAUUACAUUCAGAACUGGAAGCACUAAGAUGGACUAUGGAAAGUAUGCUACAGCAUUCGACAUAUCAGAGAUUUGAGACAAAUUGCAAGGACCUGAUUCCAAUGAUAACGGACCCACAAGCUUGGCCAACCUUCUCAACUGAGCUGGAGGUCAUACAGAUUCUCCAGGUGUGUUUUCCAGACUUCAAGAUCAGUUAUUUUCCAAGGGCGUAAAAUGGAAUUUCUGACUCGCUAGCUAGGAAUGCUCAUUCUUUUCAUAGAUCUCUUUGUUUUAUUGGUUGUUUUAUUCCGGUCUGAUUACCCAGACCACCUCAAGUUUGGGUAAUAGAGUAGUCGUUUGUUGCCAAAAAAAUAAAAUAAACUAGACUUGGUCCUAUAUCUAUCUAUUUGUGUUUUGUUAUCAUCUUAGAUAGGAUUGGGAGACGGAGAGUAGAAUAGAAGUAAAGAGAAAGAAGAAGAAGAAUAAUACACACAUGCAAAACAAAUAAAUAUAUUCAUAGACCAAACUAUGACAAUACAAAAAAUAGUGUUCCUUCAAUGAAUGAAUUUUCAUAUUAUAUUAUUAUUGGAAUAGGAGUCGGCAAAGAAUACGAAAUCAACUAUAAAAAUCGUGUGGAAAGAAAAAGAAAAGAUAUGAACUUCAGUCGUAUAUAAAUAAGGAGGUUCCUCAAGUGUAAAGAAUCUAUAUAUAUAAAGAAGAGCUACUCUUUUUUUCUAUGCUGCCACAUCAUCAAAUUGACUUUCUUAUGCACGACACGUGUCUCGUCUUCCCACAAACGAUGCGUUUCAUUUUUAUGCAUUGAAUUAGCAUUGUUUGGGCUUUAUUUGUUGGGCUCCCUGAUUUAAUGAACCAGAACGGGAUUAACCCAUAUCAUCUUCCUCAUCUGCACACCAAAAUUUAGGGUUUAUCCAGUCUCUUCAAUCUCCAACAUCACGUGCGGACAGAAGAAGCAAGAGCUAGAAUCAUCGUAAUUCACCCUCUCAUUUGCACCGACUUCCCACUCCUCACAUGAUAUCUCAUUUAAUGCAUCCCCAUCUUUAUUCCUUUCAGUGAAUCUACAACUAUAAAUAUUUUACAAGAUAAUCGAGGGGCAGGGAAGUAGAUCUAAGAUUAACCUCAGCUGCAAGCUACUCAAGAACGGUGGGGGAGGUUAAACGAAAGACCAAGGAGGCAAGUUCCUAACCUCUGGUUGAACACGAGCAACACCAACCAGCUCCGGUACAUCGCAAAGGCCAGAUGUCCAAUUCCAACCCUAGAUCCGCCACCAUCUGCCUUCGGAGUUGACUUCGGAGUUGUCCCCGCGGCCAAAGACGUUGACUUUGUAGAAAAAUCGACACCAAACUCUAAUCGCUGACGUCUGCUACAUGACCAUCGUCUCUUCAAAAGUCUGAGAGACCGCCUCCUCCCUUUCAUCUAGGCGGUGAAGAUCCGCGUCCGGGCCGGAGGAGAAACACACGAAGGGGAACUGCCAUCCCAGUCCAUAAAUCCUCCGUCACCAAACACGAAAAUUCAACCGUCGGGACAGACCACUAGCCUCCGAUGAAUGACUAUGCAGUUUCUGUUCGCGUCCCCGUCGUCCUCAUUACAGGGAGAGCAGAGCAUACUCCUGACGAGCCACCAGGAGCUAAGCCAUCGUAGGGGUCUUCUUCCCCUUCACAGAACCCGUCCGAUUCACCAAGACGGGAAGAGAAGAGCUACCAGGUUACUAUCAAUACUGCUCCGUCUUGAUGCUCAGAGACCAGAGGGUGAUCCACAACGACCACCGACGAGACUGCCGGCGACGUCUGUGUCUUUACCCUAGGCGAAAGCGAUGUUGAUUUAGAGAGAAAACUAGAGUCGCGUGUGAGAUAUACUCGCGCCACUCAAAGGCCGAACGUUUUUAUGAGAGAUUUUGUAAUGUUACCCGUAAUCGUAGCCGUUGAUUCAACUCCCAUGUUGAAAAAUCUUUAAUUAAUUAAUUAAUCUAAAGUUUGAACAAAGAAUGAUAAUCAUCAUUAAGGUUUGUAUUAUUUUCUUUUUUCUGCAUUUUAAUAUAAAAGCCUUUUACAAAAAAGAAAACCCAAAGCAGACUUCUUUCCUUCAAAUGGCUAAUUCGGUGGCGAACUGAUGCAUUUGAUGAUGUGUGGAUCAAAACAAGUAACAAUCAGUGAAGAUGACAACAAAUCGAUGAAUCAAGAAUCAUAGAGACACAAACCUGAAUGAUUGGGAACUCUAACACCCAUUGCUGCUUGAGAACGAAGAGCACGGCGUAAAGCAACCCAGUCACAAACCCUCUAAUCUCUAUUCUCUCAAUCACUCCAGUUGACAAGAAGAACCCAAUCAUUUUUACACAAAUGUAAAAGAUGGAGUAAAUAUCAUAUAUAAUAAUGAAAGAUAGUUUAAAGAAGUAAUUAAUUUUUGGUAAGUUUGCUAUCAUCUGUGAAUAUUGGUAUCAUGUGUUAAACUUUAUGGAGGAGCAUACCGGCAGUGUGGUGGCUCACUCGCUCGACGUCGAGCUUAUUGUGCGCCUCCGUUCUGUACAGGUCAAGUUGGAUCCGGGGUCUCUCCGGUGUGCGUCUGCAGUGGUGAAGGCUUCCGUGUGGUCGCAGUUACUGCUGUGUUGUUCGUGUGCGGUUUCUGGUUCUGUUCUCAAGGUGGGCCGUCUAUGACUUUGCCUUGGGUUCUUCCGGUGAUUGCUCCAGCUUCUUCUCUCUCAGUCGACGCCGCUCAUGUUGUCGUAUGUGUCGUUGCGUUGUGUUACGAUGUGGUCUCUUUCUCUCCGGCUUGUCGGUCUACUCUCCGGUUCUCCCCUGUGGUGUAGGUUUGAUGAGGCAUUUUGGAGCUAGCUCCGGUUCUCGGAGCUAGGGCGAGGCGGUUUGCUCGGAUCUCCCUUGGGUCAUUGGAGUGAAGACUCACCGCGGGAGGCUCGUGUGAAGAUUGGUCAUCCCAGCACCUCUUUUGUAACCGUUGGUUCGAUUUGGUGGGCUGAUCUUCGGUCUGUUUGUAGGUUAGGAAGAUCGACAGCAAGAUGUGGCUCUCACCACUCCCGCUUUCUGCUGUGACUCGCAUUUAGUUCCGAAGUCGAGUACAAUAAGUGUGACCUCGUUGAUUUCUGGACUGGCCUGACGGCGCUCUAAGGGUUUGCUAGGGCGGGUUGUGGACUGAGGCUCUAGGAGCUCGGGUUUUGUCUUCCGGUGGUUGUUCGAGGCUCGGGUUGCAGCGAUUAGGAUUGCAAAGCUGCGCGGGAUUGGAGUCAAUCAUUUGGAGUAGCGCUGCGGGCAAGCCAAUUUCUACCAAAGCGUGGUCUCAUGUAUUAUCAAAGACUUCAAAAUCUUGUGGCAAUGCUUUCCGGUCUAGUUUCUGCUCUUCCUUAACUAGGAAACCUUUUGUUUAAUUUUCGAUAUAGUCCAUUUAUCUCUC